AUUGAACGCUGGCGGCAGGCCUAACACAUGCAAGUCGAGCGGAUGAAGGGAGCUUGCUCCUGGAUUCAGCGGCGGACGGGUGAGUAAUGCCUAGGAAUCUGCCUGGUAGUGGGGGAUAACGUCCGGAAACGGGCGCUAAUACCGCAUACGUCCUGAGGGAGAAAGUGGGGGAUCUUCGGACCUCACGCUAUCAGAUGAGCCUAGGUCGGAUUAGCUAGUUGGUGGGGUAAAGGCCUACCAAGGCGACGAUCCGUAACUGGUCUGAGAGGAUGAUCAGUCACACUGGAACUGAGACACGGUCCAGACUCCUACGGGAGGCAGCAGUGGGGAAUAUUGAACAAUGGGCGAAAGCCUGAUCCAGCCAUGCCGCGUGUGUGAAGAAGGUCUUCGGAUUGUAAAGCACUUUAAGUUGGGAGGAAGGGCAGUAAGUUAAUACCUGGCUGUUUUGACGUUACCAACAGAAUAAGCACCGGCUAACUUCGU
rnacentral:rRNA from 1 species